CCAGAUAGCAUGACUACGUAGGGCCAACGUUGGCUAAUGGUUGUACUGUUGGUAGAUGGUUGGCGUUGGGCAUACAACGUUGGGCCUUUGUUGGGCCAAUGUAAGCAUAUGUUUGUAAGUGAUGCUAUAUCGUUAUGUUGUGUGUACAACAAUGGCUCAACGUUGGCCCAACGGAAGCAAAUCGAUGUAAAUUAAUAGUUAAAUGAAGUUGAGAAUUCUUAGUUGGGCCAAUGUUGGCCCAGCAUAGACCAACCGAUAUUAAUACCCAUCAAUAUAACGUUGGGAGUUAAUAAAAGGCCCAACGCUGGCCUAACGUAGAUCAACCAAUGUUAAUACCUAUCAAUAUGAAGUUGGGAGUUAAACAAAGGCCCAACGUUGGCUUAACGUAGAUCAACCAAUAUUAAUACCUAUCAAUAUGAAGUUGGGAGUUAAACAAAGGCCCAACGUUGGCCUAACAAAGAUCAACCGACAUUAUACCUAUCAAUGAUGAGGUUGCCUCAAUGGAGAUCAACAGAUAUCGUUCUAGAAAAAAGUGUUGAGUAUUCUCCGAUGGGCCAUUGGCGCUGGUCUAGCGUUGACCAAACGACAUCAUCUAAUAGUGUGGUACGUUAUGCGUAUCAUAGCUUGGGGACAGAGAAAUACUAGCCCCAUGAAUAUGUUUUCAAAAUUUAAUGAAUUGUAAUUGAAUGUUCAAAUGUUAGUUGUCCCAUAUUCGGUUGAUUCAUUUUUUACAUUUUUUAAAAAUGCAAUAUUUAAUGUCAGUGCUUGGUAAACAGACAAGUUGAAGUUGUAUUUCACCCCAAAGUUUACAUCAGUAACUGGACACUUAGUAGAAGAUAAGAGCACACUUUCAGCCAAAUGCAAUAAGGCAAUGAGAUUAUCAGCGGGAGACUGGUCAGUUUCUGGAGAAAAGUGUGAAAUUUGAUCCAGAGAUAAGGAUGGUCAAACUAAAGACAAAGAAAUUCACUUGCUUUACAACAUUUUCCCGCCUGUUAGAGAGAACAGAGCAGAACAAAGAAAACUGUGAAUACUGGAGGAAAACCAUUCAACAACAAUGUGAGAUCAUUAUCAACAAUUGGUGAGGAAAAUACAAAGGCAACAGUUAGGAGACUCUUAUCGCACAUGAUAAAAAAUCUACUAGCUACCAAAAUCAACCGGGUCGGAAAAGGGGAAAAAUUGCUUUCUCUUCCUUGAAAUUAAAGGAAGUAUUGAAAGAAACAGUGAUGAAAAAUCAUCUCUGCCCCAAUGCUACCGAUGCAGAAAUACAUGUGUAUUCUAUUGCCAAAUACUGGUUCAGAUUUGCCAGUGAUUGGGAGGGAGGGAGAAAGAAAAGGACAGAGAAAAAGAGUUUUUCCCCACCACAAAACGAAACCAAUCGGGAACAGGAGGCCGGGGAGUGAGCCAGAGGAUGCCACUCAAGAUAAAAUUCUUCAUAACAUGAACUUUUUAAUGUCCUAGCUACUUUGAAAAAUUCAGUAAUAGAAAAUGAAUCGAUCAUACUUGUCUAAUUAAAAUUUGUUUAAUUUCUGUCAGAUAUAUAGGGGUUUUGUUUACAUGUUGUUUUUAAAAAAUAUACAAUUGAACAAACUGAUUAAAAAUAGAAUUUUUCCACUUAAAUAUGCAUUAUUUUUCUGUCUCAUACCAAGUUAAUUUGAUUGUUUUUAUGGUUAUAAUAGCAUUGAGAAAUAUAUUUUAAAUGGUGAAUUGAUUUUAACCAGAAAAACAAAAUGUUGAGUUACAUUGCAUUGGUGGUCAGGUAAUAAUAGGUCACAUAGGGCCACAGGACCAACGUAGGCUCACCAUAAUGGGUCAGUGAAGUUUAUCAAAAAAUUACAGUGGCCUUUGUGUUGAACCAACGUAGGUCCAACAUUGUUUGCUAUUGUGGACCAUUGAGGUUUCGUAUGUUGGGCCAAUGUUAUUACAACAUGCUGGGUCAAUGUUGGACCAACAUGUUGGGCCAGUGUUGGACCAACGUGGUGGGCCAUAGUUAGAUCAAUGCGUUGGACCAACGUAGGGCCACCAAGUUGGGCCAAUGUUGGUCCUACACGUUGGCCCAACGUAGAGCCGAUGAGCAAAAUAACAUUGGGCGAACAAAGUUUGCCAACAU